CAUUUAAGCUAACAGGACAGAGAUGCCCAGGGGCUGCCUCAAAGGAGAUGCGAUCCCGUGACUUCCCAGCAGCGUUCUCCCCCGAAAUCCGCAGGUUCAGAGCAGCGGGGGUGGGCAGCGGCUCAGCCGUGAGGAAGCCGAGAAGCAGAUGUCUGCCUCCCCUCCUCCCUCCCAGAGGACCUGGAUGUGAAACUAACCCAGAGUGGACGCUGAAGCUCAGCUGCCAAGUAAUCUCCCAUUCCCGGAGAGACUGCACAGCUUCCUGCUCAAUGCCAGGUGGGGCUUCAUCCUGGAGAGGAGCAACAGGUUUUUUUCUUUUUUUUGUACCGGAAAACAUUUCUUACCUGGAGCACACCGGAGAUCAACACAGCCCCGCUAUACUAGCCCGGAGCCAAGACAGCUGUCACCCAUGUUUUUGACGCUGCCUGGCCACUUCCGGUGCUGCUGUGCUUACUGGGAGGAAGAGGCGGGUCCUAGAUGCUGGCGCUUGCGCAAUCAGCCUGGUGGAGAGCAAGACGAGAUUAUCUGGUGGUGGCGGCAUGUCGUCGGCUGCCAGAAUUGUUUGCUGAUGGCGGCGUUUUCGGCAGCGGUACUGGCCCGGAGAGUGUGGGAGUGAAGACAUUUUCAUGGAUAUGAAAUUGGACACCGAGUUCACACGGAAGUUCAGCUGCUGGGUAAUCUUCCAUUUCUGGGGACUGCUUUGCUUCCUGGUAAAACCCAGCUGUGCCUUCACCCUGGACAGGAGCAGCUGGUUAGUAGUACAUGUGGCUGUGUCCUGUUGAUGGCAGCCCUUGGGCCCAAGGAGGAGAGAAGGGAAGGGAAGGGAAGGGAACCCUGUGCCCUGGGGUUGGGCUGCCAGGCUGACAGCAAAGUGGACUUCCAACCUUUGUGAAGGAAGGUCAAGUGGUGGGAGCCCUGUAUACAUGUGGAGACCGAA